UCCCUGCAGACUAACCGGAACUGCGUGCUGCGGGAGGAGAUGUGAAAGAGGCAGAAAAACUUCACGCUCCGGAGGAAUAGGGAUUGUUCCCAGCGUCUUGCACCGAGACGCCGGGCAGCGCGCCAGCACGGCUCUCCCUUCUCUCCCCCAGACAAAGAGAAGCGAGCAGCCAGCCGAGAGCUGCUGCCCUGGGGAGCGCGGAGUUCGCAGGAAUGUUCGAUCGCUCCGAGCCGUUCACGUCGCAAGGAAGGAACUCGGCGGCCCAGCACCAAAGCGGCGGCAUCAGCACAGCCCGUGGAACCCGACUCAGGCCGACCCUCGCGGCCGCGGGACCUCCUCCCGGAGGGGCGAUUCGGAGCAGCCACGGAACCACCGCGGGGGCGGGGGCGGCCCGGAGCGACCCAGAGAUCUUCAUUAGCACGGAAACCACGGAUGGGCGUAACUAGUGAUACUGAAAGAGCCUGGAUGGUUACAGGCCCUCUACCAGCUGCAAAUCAUCCCGAUGCAUGCCCAAGCCCAGUGUGACCUUCUGGAGCUACACAAGGAUGGAGGCAGGAGCCUUUCCAGGUUGGGCAGUGCUGCGGCAGUAAGGCUAUCCUUGUCGUUUAACCUGAUUGGUGACACAACAGCACUGAAGUCCUUUCUGUCAAGGGAGAUGUCUGCCUGACUCCAGGGCUGGGGAUGUACAGUGCUGGCACAGCAGAUGCACAGCCAUGCAGCUGGCACCAGAGGUAGCAUGAGCUGUUGUCACCUCCCACGCGGUUUAUACUGUAUUCUCUGCUGCACUGGAUCUGGCUGGGAUGGAGUUAACUCUUCUGCCAGCCCAUAUCACACUGUGUUUGGACCUGUAACAAAAGCAGUGUUGAUAACACCCUGUUGUUUUAGCUGUUGCUGAGCAUUGUCUGCACAGUGUGAAGGCUGUUUCUUUUUCACCACGAGUGAGGUGGACACCAACACACAUCGCCUUCCCCAGCUUUCAGGAUCUGCAUUUACUGGGGAUCCCCGUGUUGCCAACGCAGACAGUUGCUCCUGCACACUGUUCUUCAUCAGUGACGUAGGGAUGGCUUAGCAAAACCAGCUUUUUGAUGGUGUUUCCUCCAGAUGGUCAGCUCAGUUCAAAGGGUGCUACUAGCUCUGCAGAGACUCCAGCUGGAAGCAGCAUGCAUGCUCCCAGAAGCUUGCUGGAGAGGAGCUGUCACCCCCACAGCACUGCUGGACAGGAACUCAUAGAAUUCCAGCACAGCUGGGAUGGAAGGGCCCCCCAGCCCCACCCCUGCCGUGGGCUGCCUGCCCCCCAGCUUGGGUUGCCCAGGGCCCAGCCAUGGCCUUGGGCACCUGCAGGGAUGGGGCACCCUCAGCUCGGGGCAGCAGUGCAGAGGCCACACUGCCUUGCUGUUCCCACCACUGCCCCAGCAGGAUAGCUUGAAAUGCUGAGAUGCAGGUGGUAGUGACACAGCCUGCAAACUCUGAACACAGCUGCUCUAUGGGACCAUGGAAAUGAGACCUGUUCCCAAGGUGCCACAGUGCGAUGGGACUGUGAUGGACAUGAAUUUAUUUCAAAGUUAGUUAUUUCAAAGAAAGGUUAGAUGAUUUGCAAUUGAGAUGUCAACUUGUCCAGGUACCUGUACCUGUCCUAUGACAGCAAUAAAAAAAAUGACAGUUUAGUUCUUCAAACUUAUGGCAAAUUCUCCUAUUCUCUAUAGUUAUUGCACAUCCCUGACACAGCUGGGCAGCACCACCCACUCUCAGCCCAGCCCUGGGCUCCUCCUCAAGACCUGGCCUUUCAUGGUUGUGGGGGGUGGGCAUGAGAGCUACCCUGGAAACCCAACAGACCCCGAAGCCGCAUCCCACCAGAGUAACUCAGUCCUGGCCCAUAUAUAGAUGCCCAAACUGUUGCUGGAUGGUGCAGGUCAGGAGAGGAGAGGCUUCUGUAAGAACGGAGUGCAGCCAGGUGAGGGAGCAGCCCUUGGAAGGCCAGAACAUGGGCAUCUUCAUCUGCGGCACAGUUGUGUUUACCCAGACAAUUCUGAAGCUGAGGACAGGCAGGCUGAUGCACAGGAAAAGCUCAGAUCUUGCCACCAGCUGUGCCGAGGCCUGACCUCACCAAGAUGGGCUCCAACCUCUUCCUGACGAGGAAGCAGGAGCACCAAAGCAGUGCAACCCUGUGCUCCGCACAGGCCGGGGGCUGCGGCUCAGAUCCUGCGAGGAAACAACACCUGCUCACACUGGCCCACCCAGUUCUGCACCUGAGCCUUUGGACACCCUGGAACUUGACUGGGAUCUUCUCUGCUGGCAUACGGACACAGUUUGCACCAGCUUUGCAUUUUUUAAGGGUAUUUUAAUUUUAAUUUAGUAUUUCAAUAGCUUUCUUUGCCAAGCUUUGCAGACUUUUGAGACUAUUUUUAAAAUAGUUUUGCUUCUGGUGAAACAGGAGCUUCUUGCAAGCAUA